AUUAUUUGCAAAGUAGUUGAGGCAAAUGUUACUGCGGGAGCCAAGACUAAGUAAAUUGUAAGAAGAUGUGACACUGGAGAGCUGCUCAUGUCCUGCUUUCACAUACAGUUUGCUUACGUACAAAACCAGCCUGGCAGCAGGGCCAGGAUUUACAUCUCUUGGAACUUAAAACAGCAGACUCAUGUGGACCCGAAUGUACGCUGUGGCUGUCACAAUUUGCCUCCAUAGUUCUUGGCCAACUUCUUUCUGUUUUUAAAAUAAAAACCUUCUGCAACCUGACUGACUUCAAAGUCUCUUGAAGCCUCCUUUUAGGAGAUGUGGAAAGUGUGUGUGAAGGAAGAGAGCGGCGAGAGCAGGAAGUUAGGUGACAGGGAGGCGCUGCUCGUUGCGGGAGUGGAGAUGCAGGUGACGGCUGCCAUGUCGUUUUUGACCAUCCUCCAGGAAGAGUCGGUGUCGGUCCACACCUAUGCGCACUCCUUCCUCCAACUCAUCUUGCUGCACCUGGAGCACAGGGACGCAGGUGUGAGCAACGCCUGGCUGGAAACUCUUUUGUCUGUGAUAGAAGUUCUGCCCAAAGAAACCCUAAGGCAUGAGAUUUUGAAUCCACUUGUUUCCAAGGCACAACUUUCACAAACAGUCCAGUCUCGUUUAGUUAGUUGUAAAAUUUUAGGAAAAUUGACGAACAAAUUUGAUGCCCAUACCAUUAAAAGAGAAAUACUUCCCUUAGUAAAAUCACUCUGUCAAGAUGUAGAAUACGAAGUUCGGUCCUGUAUGUGUCGGCAAUUAGAAAAUAUAGCUCAGGGCAUUGGGACAGAACUUACAAAAAAUGUGGUGCUCCCUGAAUUAAUAGAACUCUCCAGGGAUGAAGGCAGCAGCGUGCGGCUAGCCGCUUUUGAGACUUUGGUUAAUCUGCUUGACGUCUUUGAUACAGAUGACAGAAGUCAAACUAUACUUCCCUUAGUGAAAACAUUUUGUGAAAAAUCUUUCAAAGCGGAUGAGUCAAUUCUUAUUUCGUUGUCUUUCCACUUGGGAAAACUAUGCCAUGGACUGUACGGAAUUUUUACUCCAGAUCAGCACUUGAGGUUUUUGGAGUUUUAUAAGAAACUUUGUACCUUGGGUUUGCAACAAGAAAAUGGACACAAUGAAAACCAGGUUCCACCCCAAAUCCUAGAGCAAGAGAAGAAAUAUAUUUCAGUGCGAAAGAACUGUGCCUAUAACUUCCCGGCCAUGAUUGUUUUUGUUGAUCCGAAAAACUUCCACAUGGAGCUCUAUUCUACAUUCUUCUGCCUUUGCCAUGACCCUGAAGUACCUGUCAGAUACACUAUUGCUAUUUGCUUUUAUGAAGUGUCUAAACUUCUGAAUUCUGGAGUAUAUUUAAUUCAUAAAGAACUAAUAACAUUAUUACAAGACGAAUCACUGGAGGUACUAGAUGCUCUUAUAGAUCAUCUUCCAGAAAUCCUGGAACUUAUGUCUACUGGCGGAGAAAGCAGUAUUCAAGAAAAUAAGUUGUCAUCUCUGCCUGACUUGAUUCCCGCCCUUACGGCAGCUGAGCAGCGAGCUGCAGCCUCUUUAAAAUGGAGAACUCACGAGAAGCUCCUACAGAAGUAUGCCUGCCUGCCGCAGGUCAUAUCAAGCGAUCAGAUUUAUUAUCGUUUCUUACAGAGAAUGUUCACAAUCAUGAUGACAAAUAAUGUCUUACCUGUCCAAAAGGCAGCUUCACGAACUCUAUGCAUUUUUUUACGCUAUAAUCGUAAACAAGACCAGAGGCUUGAGGUCAUUCAAAAAUUAAUUGAACAACUGGGCCAAGGAAAAAGUUAUUGGAGUAGACUUCGAUUUUUGGAUACCUGUGAAUUUAUUAUAGAUAUCUUUUCCAAAUCAUUUUUCUGUAAAUAUUUCUUUCUACCUGCUAUUGAACUGACACAUGAUCCAGUGGCAAAUGUGAGAAUGAAACUUUGCUGCUUGUUGCCCAAAGUGAAGUCCACCCUGAAGAUUCCUGCAGAUAAGCAUUUACUGCAGCAGUUAGAGAUGUGUGUGAGAAAACUCCUGUGUCAAGAAAAAGAUAAAGAUGUCCUGGCCAUUGUAAAAAGAACUGUACUAGAAUUGGACAGGAUGGAAAUGUCUAUGGAUGCUUUUCAGAAAAAGUUUUAUGAAAAAGAUUUGUUGGAUCAAGAGAAAGAAAGAGAAGAACUACUUCUUUUGGAAAUGGAGCAGUUAGAGAAAGAGAAGCAACAGAAUGAUGGAAGGCCCAUGAGUGAGAAAACCUUUGAAAAGAAACGUAGAGACAUGAAGGCACCGACAACUCUGCCCAAGAACACGCCUGUUUCGGUUUCUGGACCCGCUUCUGGGACCCCAUCCACAAGCAAAGAGAUCAAGAAAUCCAAAUUGAUUCGAAGCCAGUCUUUCAACAAUCAAGCUUUUCAUGCAAAAUAUGGCACCUUAGACAAGUGUGCUAGUAAAAGCUCUGCUGCGGCAUAUACUCCUUCUGUCUCAGGGUUAGCAAAGACUUCUAUGAUUUCUCUAACUGAUGAUUCCUUCCGGGCUCGUAAUGCCAGCAAUGCGCCUUCUUCCUUUUCUUCUAACGCUUCCCUCCCAAGCACCUCCGGAGGCUCAGGGAGCUCUGUAGAUCCAAAGGGCAGCGGAAGUAAAGACACACAGCCUCGGAAGGCUGCCUUAAAAUCCAGAAAAUCCAAUCCUUAAAUCGUCUGCUUGGUAAAGGAGGCAAAACAAAGACCACUGGAGAUAAUGGGAUUGAUGACAAGCUCUAAGGCUUGGCUGCGGCUUUGUUUUUCUUUUCACAAAUGGAAAAGAGAGUCAUAAUGGCAGCUGGUGUUAAACUUCACAUAUUUGAAAUUAGAUUCCCUAGGAGGUAGAGAAGAGGAAAGCAAUCUGGCAGAGAAAUGAGCCCACUCCUGAGCUCAGGCGGUCAGAAGUCACCUGCAGCCUUGCCCUUGGCGCUAAACUGAUCAUCCAAGCUGGCCCAUCAGAGUGAUUUUUGGAAGUUGCCUUUAUUCCCGACAGCACUUGAAAAUUUUCUAAAAUUGUAAUAUUUAUUAAAAUUAACUCUCAAGGACAGAUACAUGAAAACAGUAUCAAAAAUUGGUGACACCUGUGACUACCCACCCCUCCCUCGCUCCAUUUAUACUGGAAACAAGACCCAUACUCUUGUAGAGUUUGCACUUGAAUAAUUUAUCCAACAGGUGCUCUAGGCUAGACGCAUGACAGAGAAAGCGUUCCCUUGUGUGUCCUUGCGGGGGAAGAGGGGCAUUUCCUUCAUCUUCAUCGGUCUGUCAGCUGUGGAAACUUCCCUCUUUAAGGAUCGGUUCUAGAGUUUUGCUAGUCAGUAUUGUAAGCGAAAACAACCAGACUUCGAGCUCAGGUUUCCUGACAGGUGGAGACAGGGCUGAGAAGGGUGCCGCUGAAUAGAGGCGAGAUAAGGAACAUGUCGGACUUUUCGUCCCAUAACCUCCCGCACAGCACGUGACUUCCUGAGCUCAGCGCCUUCCUCUGGAAGGGGUCCGUCUCGCCUUGAGUCUGCGGGCGUAGAGGGAAUGUUUGCAUCGAAAUGGAAAGGCCCUUCAGCUUGAGCAGGAGUUUUACGGUGAAGAUAAAAUGAGUUCGAUUAAGUCAAUAAUCUAGUCUCAGCUCUCAGUUGUAGCAUGUGGGUGUGACUGUGUAUGAGUGUGUGACUGUGUGUCUGCUUAGGGGCAGUUUAUAAAACCUGAUGCUUAAAUACUGUGAAGCCUUCUUAUGACAUCAAAUUCUCCACACCCCCACCUGCCCCCCCGUUAAAACUUGGUAAGAUAGAUGACAUUUUUCAUCGAGGUGCAUUUUUUAACCAUGCACAUAUACCUGGGAAAUCUGAAACCUGGUGUUUUGGGAGCUUCUUUAAGCAUAUGUGGGGGAAUAUUUUUAAACAUUUUAAAUAGUGAAUAGGGCCAUUUUUUUUGGCUUAGAGAGUGAUGUGUUCGAGAUCAGGGUGUCGUUGUGCUUCAUAGUGCCUGUGGCGGCCGACGGGAGGCCUUCAGCCUUUUCACCUCUGGGUUUGACUUGUUUCCUUAAGCGGGCGUUGUUCCCACAGACUUUCUUUUCUAAGUUUCAUUUUUUAAAGGUGGGCGAUUUGAUUGAACCCUCUUUUAUUUGUCUUUCUACUAUUUUUCCACAAACAAAUCUAACUCAUUGAAUACUAACGGGUCACUUAAGAAUAAUAGAGUUAGCCCUUUAUUUUUUUUUCCUUUCUAUGUCCUGGAAAUUCCUGCCCUUACUAGUGCCAACUAGUGCUAUUGGAGGGCAUACUGGCAUGGAUUCCUGCCCUGAUAGUAGAAUGCUGAAA